rnacentral:rRNA from 1 species
UGUUAGGGCACGACACCGGAGAGGGAGCCUGAGAAACAGCUACCACAUCCAAGGAUGGCAGCAGGCGCGCAAAUUACCCAAUCCCGGCACGGGGAGGUAGUGACAAUAAAUAACAAUACGGGGUUCUUUAGGAUCUCGUAAUUGGAAUGAGUACAAUAUAAAUCUCUUAACGAGGAACAAUUGGAGGGCAAGUCUGGUGCCAGCAGCCGCGGUAAUUCCAGCUCCAAUAGCGUAUAUUAAAGUUGUUGCAGUUAAAAAGCUCGUAGUUGAAUUUCGGGAUCAAUUUGUCGGUCGUGCCUCGGUACGUACUGGUAUUAUUGGUUUCUACCUUCUGAAGAACCUUGAUGUCAUUAAUUUGGUGUCUUGGGGAAUCAGGACUGUUACUUUGAAAAAAUUAGAGUGUUUAAAGCAAGCAUACGCUUGAAUACAUUAGCAUGGAAUAAUGAAAUAGGACGUUUGAUUCUAUUUUGUUGGUUUCUAGGAUCGACGUAAUGAUUAAUAGGGAUAGUUGGGGGCAUUAGUAUUCAAUUGUCAGAGGUGAAAUUCUUGGAUUUAUUGAAGACUAACUACUGCGAAAGCAUUUGCCAAGGAUGUUUUCAUUAAUCAAGAACGAAAGUUAGGGGAUCGAAGACGAUCAGAUACCGUCGUAGUCUUAACCAUAAACUAUGCCGACUAGGGAUCGGAUGAUGUUA